UACAGAGGUGGCGAGCGUUAUUCGGAAUUAUUGGGCGUAAAGGGCGCGUAGGCGGCUUGACAAGUCCCGGGUGAAAUCCCUCGGCUCAACCGAGGAACUGCCUUGGAAACUGUCUGGCUUGAGGCCGGGAGAGGGUAGUGGAAUUCCCAGUGUAGCGGUGAAAUGCGUAGAUACUGGGUGGAACACCGGUGGCGAAGGCAGGUCUCUGGGCCACUACUGACGCUGAGAAGCGAAAGCAUGGGGAGCGAACAGG
rnacentral:rRNA from 1 species